UGGGGAAUAUUACGCAAUGGGGGGAACCCUGACGCAGCCAUGCCGCGUGAAUGAAGAAGGCCUUCGGGUUGUAAAGUUCUUUCGGUAUUGAGGAAGGUUGAUGUGUUAAUAGCACAUCAAAUUGACGUUAAAUACAGAAGAAGCACCGGCUAACUCCGUGCCAGCAGCCGCGGUAAUACGGAGGGUGCGAGCGUUAAUCGGAAUAACUGGGCGUAAAGGGCACGCAGGCGGUUAUUUAAGUGAGGUGUGAAAGCCCUGGGCUUAACCUAGGAAUUGCAUUUCAGACUGGGUAACUAGAGUACUUUAGGGAGGGGUAGAAUUCCACGUGUAGCGGUGAAAUGCGUAGAGAUGUGGAGGAAUACCGAAGGCGAAGGCAGCCCCUUGGGAAUGUACUGACGCUCAUGUGCGAAAGCGUGGGGAGCAAACAGGAUUAGAUACCCUGGUAGUCCACGCUGUAAACGCUGUCGAUUUGGGGGUUGGGGUUUAACUCUGGCGCCCGUAGCUAACGUGAUAAAUCGACCGCCUGGGGAGUACGGCCGCAAGGUUA
rnacentral:rRNA from 1 species